rnacentral:rRNA from 1 species
AACGAACGCUGGCGGCAGGCUUAACACAUGCAAGUCGAGCGCAUCCUUCGGGGUGAGCGGCGGACGGGUGAGUAACGCGUGGGAACGUGCCCUCUUCUACGGAAUAGCCUCGGGAAACUGAGAGUAAUGCCGUAUACGCCCGCAAGGGGAAAGAUUUAUCGGAGGAGGAUCGGCCCGCGUUGGAUUAGGUAGUUGGUGGGGUAACGGCCUACCAAGCCGACGAUCCAUAGCUGGUUUGAGAGGAUGAUCAGCCACACUGGGACUGAGACACGGCCCAGACUCCUACGGGAGGCAGCAGUGGGGAAUCUUGGACAAUGGGGGCAACCCUGAUCCAGCCAUGCCGCGUGAUCGAUGAAGGCCUUAGGGUUGUAAAGAUCUUUAAGCUGGGAAGAUAAUGACGGUACCAGCAGAAGAAGCCCCGGCUAACUCCGUG